rnacentral:rRNA from 1 species
UAGCGAAAUUCCUUGUCGGGUAAGUUCCGACCUGCACGAAUGGCAUAAUGAUGGCCAGGCUGUCUCCACCCGAGACUCAGUGAAAUUGAAAUCGCCGUGAAGAUGCGGUGUACCCGCGGCUAGACGGAAAGACCCCGUGAACCUUUACUAUAGCUUGACACUGAACAUUGAAUUUUGAUGUGUAGGAUAGGUGGGAGACUUAGAAGUAGUCACGCCAGUGAUUAUGGAGUCGUCCUUGAAAUACCACCCUUUAACGUUUGAUGUUCUAACGAAGAUUACGAAACGUGGUCUCGGACAGUGUCUGGUGGGUAGUUUGACUGGGGCGGUCUCCUCCCAAAGAGUAACGGAGGAGCACGAAGGUUUGCUAAUGACGGUCGGACAUCGUCAGGUUAGUGCAAUGGUAUAAGCAAGCUUAACUGCGAGACAGACAAGUCGAGCAGGUACGAAAGUAGGUCAUAGUGAUCCGGUGGUUCUGAAUGGAAGGGCCAUCGCUCAACGGAUAAAAGGUACUCCGGGGAUAACAGGCUGAUACCGCCCAAGAGUUCAUAUCGACGGCGGUGUUUGGCACCUCGAUGUCGGCUCAUCACAUCCUGGGGCUGAAGUAGGUCCCAAGGGUAUGGCUGUUCGCCAUUUAAAGUGGUACGCGAGCUGGGUUUAGAACGUCGUGAGACAGUUCGGUCCCUAUCUGCCGUGGGCGUUGGAGAAUUGAUUGGGGCUGCUCCUAGUACGAGAGGACCGGAGUGGACGCACCACUGGUGUUCCGGUUGUGUCGCCAGACGCAUUGCCGGGUAGCUAAGUGCGGAAGAGAUAAGUGCUGAAAGCAUCUAAGCACGAAACUUGCCAAGAGAUGAGUUCUCCCAGAUUAUAAAUCUGUAAGGGUUGUUUAAGACUAAGACGUAGAUAGGUCUGGUGUGUAAGCGGUGCGAGCCGUUGAGCUAACAGAUACUAAUUGCCCGAGAGGCUUAACUAU